CGUGCAGGCUGUUCUAUCGUCCCGCGUUAUGCGGGGAGGAAAGUCGGGACAACACAGAGCGCCAUACUUCCUAACAGGAAGGACUCUCGUUUGAAACGGGAGGACAGCAAGUGCCACAGAAAAUAACCGCCUAUGUCGGAGCUUUGGAUUAGGCAAACCUGCCUUCGCUGAAGCUUCGGCAGGCAAGGGUGAAAACGUGGGGUAAGAGCCCACGCGAUGUUGUGGUGACACAGCAUCGGGGUAAACCUUAUGGGUUGCAAGUCCAAAUAUGCCGGUGCGCUCGUUAGAAACGGGAUAAGGGUUGCUCGCCCGAUGCCGGCGGGUAGGACGCUAGAGCCAUACAGUGAUGUAUGGCCCAGAGAAAUGAUAGAAUCCCGUACACACGGGAACAGAAUCCCGCUUACAGGCCUGCACGGCUU
rnacentral:RNase_P_RNA from 1 species